AGAGUUUGAUUAUGGCUCAGGACGAACGCUGGCGGCGUGCUUAACACAUGCAAGUCAAGGGGGCCCGCAAGGGCAACCGGCGAACGGGUGCGUAACACGUGAGCAACCUACCGAGAUGUGGGGGAUAGCCGGCCCAACGGCCGGGUAAUACCGCAUACGAUUGCUUGGGGGAGUCCCCGGGCAAGGAAACCCGCAAGGGGCAUUUCGAGGGGCUCGCGGCCUAUCAGCUAGUUGGCGGGGUAAUGGCCCACCAAGGCGACGACGGGUAGCUGGUCUGAGAGGAUGGCCAGCCACAUUGGGACUGAGAAACGGCCCAGACUCCUACGGGAGGCAGCAGUGGGGAAUCUUGCGCAAUGGUCGAGAGACUGACGCAGCGACGCCGCGUGUGGGAGGACGCCCUUCGGGGUGUAAACCACUGUUGCCCGGGACGAACAUCCACUUUCGAGUGGACUGACGGUACCGGGUGAGGAAGCACCGGCUAACUCCGUGCCAGCAGCCGCGGUAAUACGGAGGGUGCGAGCGUUGUCCGGAAUCACUGGGCGUAAAGGGCGCGUAGGUGGCGCGAGGAGUCAACGGUGAAAGUUCAGGGCUCAACCCUGAAUNNGCCGUCGAUACUCUCGGGCUUGAGCANUNUAGAGGCAGGUGGAAUUCCGGGUGUAG
rnacentral:rRNA from 1 species